UGCUCUCUACAACGUGCUGCUCCGAAAUGCUGCUUUUGAUCUGCAAAAUAAUGUUCGCGCAACAAAGUGAUACUGAAAAUUCGUGGUUUUAAAAUAGUGUGUUUAAUAUUUCCUACAAAACUAUAGCGAAGAACUCUGUAUCAACCAAAAAAAGUCACUAUUCCGCAGUUCUUCAAAAGGGAGAAAACGUCGGCAAAUGGCGUUGCGUCGAAGAAUUUACAUCAGAUGAAAUAAAAUGACUCCCACUGAGAAGAUUAUUUUGAAAUGGUACAGCACUAAUUCUUUUAUAUUUGAGAAAAAAGAUGAAUGAUAUUAUACGCAUAGUCUGAGACAAGAGCUUUUACAAGAGAUUCAGAAAGAUUUGGUGAAAAAUAACGAACAUUUAUCAGGUCCAGAGAUACAACAGAAGUUCAAGUAUCUGAGAGAUAGUUUUGUCAGAAUCGACAAUAAGAUACAGAAGAGCGAAUCUUUAACUUGAUAUGAACAGAUCAUCUAUGAAAAAAUCUUUUUUCUAAAGUCUCAUAUCACUCAUAAAGUCUAUAAUGAAGAGACAUCUAAAUAUGAAAUUAUGAGCAAUGUUAAAAUUAACGAGUCUACUUUUGAUGCUGGUAUUUCAGAAAAAAAAAGUUUUUUUUUAUAGUGUUAAAACAAUUGAAACUAUUAGAAGUAAAAUUGAAAUUUUGAAUGAUAUUAUUAAAAGUUAGCCGAAUAAUGAACAGCAAAGAUUAUGCUUAUUAUUUAUUCUUAAAUUUAUAUAAUCUAUAUAUAUUAUAUAUCUAUAAGUAUGUAUCAUUAUUCUGAAAGACAAUAAAAUAUUUUGAAAAUUCUACAAUGUAAAAUAUGUUUUGCAUAAAUUCCUAUCAUAAUACGGAUUAUUAUUAUGAUUAUACGUACAUUUUGGAGCAGUAUAGUUCACAGCAAGUUUGCAGAGGACUCUGUGCCCUGUGGGCCCUGAUGCAGUUUUUAGUAAUUCCAGAGUGGAUCAGUGUUGCCGAUAUUUGUUGAUUAUUGCAGUUUUUUACUGUCAAAAUAAAUUUCCAUGUGUGUAUAUAUUACUUGAAUUAAAUUCAUAUGUAUUUAUUUAAUCUUGGAUGAAAAAGUAAGGUCAGUUUUUGUUUUGUAUUAUAAAAUCUGAACUAAAAUAUACGUAUAUAACCUAUUAGAAAAAA
rnacentral:lncRNA from 1 species